UCCAGACUCCUACGGGAGGCAGCAGUGGGGAAUAUUGGGCAAUGGGCGCAAGCCUGACCCAGCAAUGCCGCGUGAAGGAAGAAGGCUUUCGGGUUGUAAACUUCUUUGACAGGGGAAGAGCAGAAGACGGUACCCUGAAAACAAGCCACGGCUAACUACGUGCCAGCAGCCGCGGUAAUACGUAGGUGGCAAGCGUUGUCCGGAUUUACUGGGUGUAAAGGGCGUGUAGCCGGGAAGGCAAGUCAGAUGUGAAAUCCGGAGGCUCAACCUCCGAAUUGCAUUUGAAACUGUUUUUCUUGAGUACUGGAGAGGCAGACGGAAUUCCUUGUGUAGCGGUGAAAUGCGUAGAUAUAAGGCAGAACACCAGUGGCGAAGGCGGAUGACUGGACGGCAACUGACGGUGAGGCGCGAACGCGUGGGGAGCAAACAGGAUUAGAUACCCCGGUAA
rnacentral:rRNA from 1 species